UAAUGAAUGCGCUAAUGAGAUGCAGGAAUCCAUCACCUAAACCACGGUUUUCUUUACAGCGUUUAUAUCGAUUCCUAUCAAAUUUACUGUCCAAUAAGAAGGUUUUAGUGCUGGGGGUAACCGUGUGGUAUCUUUGCAACUACAAGACCCACCAACCUCAAACAGGCGGCAGAGUCAGACCGUUGCUUUAGAGAUCCGCUGGAUGUAAACUGAAGCGGGUUAAGCACGUGUGGAGAAGUAGACUUGUGCGUUCAGAUUUAUACUGAUUUUAAAUAUAAUUUGGUUAAGUUGUA